GGCUUUUCUUAGUGAGUUAUAAAUUAUGGCAUUUGCCUUUAAAUUUUGUCUGCCUGUAAUUAUGUGGGUGUAAUUUAUUACUUAAUUGGAGGCAUGUUUGCUGCUGGGAUUCUUGUGCAGAAACUUGUAGUUUUUUUAGUUUUAGUUCGGAAGAAGCAUGGCAUAGCUUUCGACAAUUUUUGCAGCUUUCUAACUUGUCAAGGGUUUCUAACAUUUUGGAGCCACAUGCUGGUGUUUGACUAUAAGUAAGAUUAAAAUGUAGAAGAAGUUUUGAUGAAUAUCUUACUGUUUCACCACAACAAUAAAAAAACUAUUAAUCAAGAGACUAUGUUUUGAAGAUUUAUCUUUGGACGGGGAGAGCUCCCAUGCGUAAACGACGCUAUCUCCUUACCCACUUGUCUUCUCAUGGUGGCUAAGGGUAGAAAUCCCUUGAAUGAUAUAAUAAUCUGCUAUGUCUCUAACCAUGACAAAAGAGCAGAAUUGGGUAAUUCUACCCAUCUAGUCAACUCUGUCACUUGAUCAUGGCUGAUUUUACUCUCUCAAACCCAUUCUCCCGCCUUCUCCCAGUAACCUUUGACGUCUUUACUAAUCAAGAACCUAUCAAUCUCUGCUUCAAUUUCAAUGGCCUCCACUGCCAUAAGUGGCAAUGAACUUCACAAUUCAUUGCCACCGUCUGGUUAAAGAAAUCCCACCUCAUCUUCUUACAGGUUGGUACACCACUGAAUUUUCCUGCCUCCUGCAAAAGCAACCCAAGUAGGCAGCACCUGGACUUUGUGUAGGAAAGAACUACAGAUGCUGGUUUAAAUCGUAGAUAGACACAAAAUGCUGAAGUAACCAAGCGGGACAAGCAGCGUCUCUGGAGAGAAGGAAUGGGUGAUGUUUCGGGUCGAGACCCUUCUUCUGAAGUGAACCCUACUGUCUCGUCCGGAAACAUCACCCAUUCCUUCUCUCCAGCGAUGCUACCUGUCCAGCUGAGUUGCUCCAGCAUUUUUGAUGUAUCAGCUUGAAACGAUGCUUCUUUAAGUGAGCGUCAGGGGCGCAAUGAGGGCACGAUCUCAGCUUGUGCCGCAGAAAUUCACGCUUCUCUGAAAACGCGCUUCGCUAUAAAAGAGAAGACAGUGGACAGGAGAGGAAGGCAGAGGAUUAGUUGCCAGAUCGAGAGAAAGCAACCUCUGGAUUUCAUGCGGGUUAGAACUGCGAGGGAGAGCUGAGUGGAGAACGAUUGUACUGGUUUCCCAAUCCCACCGGGCGAUGAAAGGCAAUCCGGGAAAUGACAAGUGUGAAGGGUGAUGAAAAAUACUGAGACUGAGAAAGGCUGAUAUUUUUGAAAGAAAAUGAGUGUAUUAAUGGUACUUAUUCUCCUGGUCUACAUUGCCGGGCACAACAUUGAAUCAACAACCCUUUCACCAACUGGAGGAUUGAAUGACAUUAUUGAAGAUACAACGUCUCUUGCAUUUGGGGCAUCAGUUAUCAUAAUUAUCACCGUUCUGUUAUCAGGAACUGCCUAUUUGUGCUUCUUGAAGUACAUCUGCUCAGGAUGUUGCAGAUGUACUCGGGUCAAUCCUGCAACAAGACAAGACCCAUGCAAAACAGAGGAGCAGGUGUAAUGAUUUUGUGCAAGAGGUGAAAAUAGCCAUUAAAAAAACUGUUGCAAAAGUUGGAAAAUGAAAUAAAUUAAUCAACAUUAUAAUCUUACUCCUUCCUCUUUUCUCUAAAACACUAGGUUGUCAGUUUUACAUAGGACAUUAAGAAGUGAAACCCUCAUAUACAAUGA